rnacentral:snoRNA from 1 species
CUGCAGCAUGGAGACCUGUGUGGUGUUGUGACUUCAAACAGCAGCCAUCCUGGAAAUGCUGCAGCCCGUUGCUUGGAUGUGUUGCUUUAAGGGACAUUUGAGACAGUU